rnacentral:rRNA from 1 species
CAUUACUGAGUUUACGCUCUAUAACCCUUUGUGAACAUACCUAUAACUGUUGCUUUGGCGGGUAGGGUCUCCGCGACCCUCCCGGCCUCCCGCCUCCGGGCGGGUCGGCGCCCGCCGGAGGAUAACCAAACUCUGAUUUAACGACGUUUCUUCUGAGUGGUACAAGCAAAUAAUCAAAACUUUUAACAACGGAUCUCUUGGUUCUGGCAUCGAUGAAGAACGCAGCGAAAUGCGAUAAGUAAUGUGAAUUGCAGAAUUCAGUGAAUCAUCGAAUCUUUGAACGCACAUUGCGCCCGCCAGCAUUCUGGCGGGCAUGCCUGUUCGAGCGUCAUUUCAACCCUCAAGCUCUGCUUGGUGUUGGGGCCCUACAGCUGAUGUAGGCCCUCAAAGGUAGUGGCGGACCCUCCCGGAGCCUCCUUUGCGUAGUAACUUUACGUCUCGCACUGGGAUCCGGAGGGACUCUUGCCGUAAAACCCCCCAAUUUUCCAAAGGUUGACCUCGGAUCAGGUAGGAAUACCCGCUGAACUUAAGCAUAUCAA